rnacentral:rRNA from 1 species
GAUGAACGCUGGCGGCGUGCCUAAUACAUGCAAGUCGAGCGAACAGACGAGGAGCUUGCUCCUCUGACGUUAGCGGCGGACGGGUGAGUAACACGUGGAUAACCUACCUAUAAGACUGGGAUAACUUCGGGAAACCGGAGCUAAUACCGGAUAAUAUAUUGAACCGCAUGGUUCAAUAGUGAAAGACGGUUUUGCUGUCACUUAUAGAUGGAUCCGCGCCGCAUUAGCUAGUUGGUAAGGUAACGGCUUACCAAGGCAACGAUGCGUAGCCGACCUGAGAGGGUGAUCGGCCACACUGUAACUGAGACACGGUCCAGACUCCUACGGGAGGCAGCAGUAGGGAAUCUUCCGCAAUGGGCGAAAGCCUGACGGAGCAACGCCGCGUGAGUGAUGAAGGUCUUCGGAUCGUAAAACUCUGUUAUUAGGGAAGAACAAAUGUGUAAGUAACUAUGCACGUCUUGACGGUACCUAAUCAGAAAGCCACGGCUAACUACGUG